AUGGAUGCAGCUGGCACCUUAUGCAACUCUGAGGAGUUUGUACACAGGUGAGCAAGGAGGAUGUACUCAAAAAUUGGCCUCAGGAAGUGAAUGAGAUUGCCUUAGUGAUUGUUGUUGACAAUGUUCCUCAUGUGGGACCGGACCUGCUUGAGAAACUCCAAAAUGUCAUCCAAGUUUGGGGAAAUCAGAAAUGACUGUUACCCUGGAAAGGAAGAAAAAAUUUAAAAAAAGGUACAUCUUUCUGGAAUAUGCUUCUUCAGUCCCUGCUGUAGAUGCAGUGAAAAACGUGAAUGAGUACAAGCUGGAAAAUCAGCACACAUUCCGGGUCAACCUACUUACUGAUUUUGUUAAGUACAUGGAAACAGAGAUGAGUGGGACAUUCCAGAGAAUCAGCCUUUCAAAGACCUGGGAAAUUUGUGUUACCAGCUAGAAGAGGCACAGUGUAGAGAUCAGUACAGUGUGAUUUUUGAGAGUGAAAAUCAGACAUCUGUCUUCUGCAAUGAUGUCAAGGACCCAGUAUCAAUUGAAGAAAGAGCGAGUUGGACAGAGACAUGUGUGCGCUGGCUGAUCCCCUAAGUGCACCUACCUGGCCACUUUCCAUCAGCGGGGUAUCAACCUCUAGGGAGGGAACAAGUUCAAGCAGAUCCAGAGGUUUAGCCACCAAGGCAUGCAGCUCAUCAAUUUCUCUCCUGUGAAAGAUACCUGGUGACUUUCAGCACACUGAUGGAUACUCAGAAUGACCGUCAGGCCAUUGUCAUCUGGGACAUCUUCACAAGCAUAAGAAGAGAGAGGCCUUCAUUGUGAAUACUCAGCCAUCUGGCUCAUCUUCAAAUAGAACCAUGAUAGCAAAUUCUUUACAAGCCCUAGAUACUCUUAGCAUCUAUGAAACACCUUCUAUGGGCCUUUCAGACAAGAAGAGAUUGAAGAUCUCUGGAAUAAACAAUGUUUCUUGGUAUCCAGGUGCCUUUUGGGUGCUGGAAAAAAAAGGUAUUCUAACCAGGGUGACCCUGAUGCAGCUCUCCUAUCAGGAGAUCCAAGUGAGAUUCAGUGUAUUCUACGCAAGCUGUAAUGGCAGAAUCAUGGAGAUUACCUGUGUCUAAAAGUGGACAGAACUCUGUAAGGCACACAGGUUGUUGUUACACAUUUUGAAAUCUUCUGAAUAAGGGAAAAGCAGGUAUAUGUUGGUGUUCAGAUGAAAGAAACCAUCAUAGCCUUUGCCUGGGAACCUGAUGGCAGCAAGUGUGCUGUGCUUCAUUGUGAGAUCCCUUGAAUAUCUGUCUGCUUCUACCACAUGAAGAGCAACUGGAAGAUCAAAUUCAUCAAGAUGUUUGACAAGCAGCAAGCAAACACCAUCUUCUGAAGAACAGCAAGGACUGUUUUUGCUAGCUGCUAUGGAAACCAAGGCCUCAGAUGAUCCUCAGCCAGGAUCAGAUAAAACAAAUGAGAAAGGAUCUGAAGAAAUACUCUAAUAUCUUUGAGCAAAAGGAUCAUUUGGGCCAAUCCAAAGCCUCAAAAGAACUGGUAGAAAGAAAGCAGACCAUGAUGGAGGACAUUCCAAAAAAUGGCCCAGGAACUCUAUAUGAAGCAGAAGAGUGAGCGUCUAGAGCUAUGGGGAGAGGUGGACACUGGUGAGCUGGACAGAAACAUGAAUGACUGGGAGGAAGAGACCACUGAGAUUUUUGUCACUGAGGAGGUUGUUCCUCUGAGAAGUCAGGAGGGACCUCAGUACUGUGUGUCACUGUGCUGUGCCCAAGAUCCAAGGCUACCCUUCAUAGAGAGCCUUGGGCUCAGUUCUCACCUGUACUUUCUUGAUCUGGACAGUGAGUGCACCCAGGGUUCUUUCAGUCCCAGAUUCACUUUGAGCCUCUGCUCUCAAAUUGCCCUGUUUGGGAAUUUUAUCAGCCAUGUCUGCUUUGGGGCCUCACUGCAGCGCUCCUGGAGGCUCCUUUAACUCCUGUUGCUGUCCUUGAGGUUUCCAGGGCCUCCACCUGCAGCUCAGAGGAGCUUCCAUUCACAGACUUGUUGAUCCUGUGGGCCAGUGUCCUGGAGACCAUCAGGGAAUCUGCACACCCACCAGAAGCUGUGGAGUUACCCCAGUAACUCACACCAGUUCAGAUCAUGGCUAGGCCUCUGGGCAGGUAGGAUGUGA